rnacentral:rRNA from 1 species
AGCAGCCGCCACGGGAAUACGUAGGGUGCGAGCGUUAAUCGGAAUUACUGGGCGUAAAGCGUGCGCAGGCGGUUCGUUAAGACAGAUGUGAAAUCCCCGGGCUUAACCUGGGAACUGCAUUUGUGACUGGCGAGCUAGAGUAUGGCAGAGGGGGGUAGAAUUCCACGUGUAGCAGUGAAAUGCGUAGAGAUGUGGAGGAAUACCGAUGGCGAAGGCAGCCCCCUGGGCCAAUACUGACGCUCAUGCACGAAAGCGUGGGGAGCAAACAGGAUUAGAUACCCGCGUAGUCCCUGUCUCUUAUAC